rnacentral:miRNA from 1 species
CCUGCAGACCCGGCCUUGGCGAG